GGCUUUGCACAGUGGCAGUAUUGUAGCCAAUGAGGUUUAUCUGAGGUACAAUUAUUGCUAAUUGAAAACUUUUCCCAAUACCCUGACGUGAUGACUUGAAAUAGUCGGCAUCGGCAAUUUUUGAUGGUCUCUACAGAGA